rnacentral:rRNA from 1 species
CCCUUAGAUGUCCUGGGCCGCACGCGCGCUACACUGACAUGUUCAACAAGCCUCCUAGUUCGACAGGAUUUGGGAAAUCUUUGAACGCAUGUCGUGAUAGGGAUAGAUCAUUGCAAUUAUUGAUCUUGAACGAGGAAUUCCUAGUAAACGCGAGUCAUCAGCUCGCAUUGAUUACGUCCCUGCCCUUUGUACACACCGCCCGUCGCACCUACCGAUUGAAUGUUUCGGUGAAGAUUCCGGAUAGGACUUUUUUGAUGUAUUUCAAUUUUGUCUUAAAAGCUAUCUAAACCUCAACAUUUAGAGGAAGGUGAAGUCGUAACA